CCUACGGGUGGCAGCAGUGGGGAAUAUUGGACAAUGGGCGAAAGCCUGAUCCAGCCAUGCCGCGUGUGUGAAGAAGGCCUUCGGGUUGUAAAGCACUUUCAGUGGGGAAGAAAGCCUUGGGGCUAAUACCCUCGAGGAAGGACAUCACCCACAGAAGAAGCACCGGCUAACUCCGUGCCAGCAGCCGCGGUAAUACGGAGGGUGCGAGCGUUAAUCGGAAUUACUGGGCGUAAAGCGCGCGUAGGCGGUCUGAUAAGCCGGUUGUGAAAGCCCCGGGCUCAACCUGGGAACGGCAUCCGGAACUGUCAGGCUAGAGUGCAGGAGAGGAAGGUAGAAUUCCCGGUGUAGCGGUGAAAUGCGUAGAGAUCGGGAGGAAUACCAGUGGCGAAGGCGGCCUUCUGGACUGACACUGACGCUGAGGUGCGAAAGCGUGGGUAGCAAACAGGAUUAGAUACCCCAGUAUUC
rnacentral:rRNA from 1 species